UACAGAGGUGGCAAGCGUUGUUCGGAAUUACUGGGCGUAAAGGGCGCGUAGGCGGCCUACUAAGUCAGACGUGAAAUCCCCCGGCUUAACCUGGGAACUGCGUCUGAUACUGGAAGGCUUGAGGAUGGGAGAGGGAUGUAGAAUUCCUGGUGUAGCGGUGAAAUGCGCAGAUAUCAGGAGGAACACCGGUGGCGAAGGCGGGUCUCUGGGCAACAACUGACGCUGAGGAGCGAAAGCGUGGGGAGCGAACAGG
rnacentral:rRNA from 1 species